rnacentral:rRNA from 1 species
GGGCAGGAGGGUGCUAUACAUGCAGUCGAACGCACAGCGAAAGGUGCUUGCACCUUUCAAGUGAGUGGCGAACGGGUGAGUAACACGUGGACAACCUGCCUCAAGGCUGGGGAUAACAUUUGGAAACAGAUGCUAAUACCGAAUAAAACUUAGUGUCGCAUGACACAAAGUUAAAAGGCGCUUCGGCGUCACCUAGAGAUGGAUCCGCGGUGCAUUAGUUAGUUGGUGGGGUAAAGGCCUACCAAGACAAUGAUGCAUAGCCGAGUUGAGAGACUGAUCGGCCACAUUGGGACUGAGACACGGCCCAAACUCCUACGGGAGGCUGCAGUAGGGAAUCUUCCACAAUGGGCGAAAGCCUGAUGGAGCAACGCCGCGUGUGUGAUGAAGGCUUUCGGGUCGUAAAGCACUGUUGUAUGGGAAGAACAGCUAGAAUAGGAAAUGAUUUUAGUUUGACGGUACCAUACCAGAAAGGGACGGCUAAAUACGUGCCAGCAGCCGCGGUAAUACGUAUGUCCCGAGCGUUAUCCGGAUUUAUUGGGCGUAAAGCGAGCGCAGACGGUUUAUUAAGUCUGAUGUGAAAGCCCGGAGCUCAACUCCGGAAUGGCAUUGGAAACUGGUUAACUUGAGUGCAGUAGAGGUAAGUGGAACUCCAUGUGUAGCGGUGGAAUGCGUAGAUAUAUGGAAGAACACCAGUGGCGAAGGCGGCUUACUGGACUGCAACUGACGUUGAGGCUCGAAAGUGUGGGUAGCAAACAGGAUUAGAUACCCUGGUAGUCCACACCGUAAACGAUGAACACUAGGUGUUAGGAGGUUUCCGCCUCUUAGUGCCGAAGCUAACGCAUUAAGUGUUCCGCCUGGGGAGUACGACCGCAAGGUUGAACUCAAAGGAAUUGACGGGGACCCGCACAAGCGGUGGAGCAUGUGGUUUAAUUCAAAGCAACGCGAAGAACCUUACCAGGUCUUGACAUCCCUUUGAAGCUUUUAAGAUAGAAGUGUUCUCGUCGGAGACAAAGUGACAAGUAGAUGCAUGGUCAUCGUCAGCUUCUGUCCUGAGAAGAUGGGGUUAAGUCACGCAACAAGCGCACCCCUAA